GGAGAAAGCGAAUCCAUAUAGCCCGAUUCCAAAUUUUUGGGAUAAAAACUUGGUUGAGUUGAGUACUAAUUCAGUCUUCAUAUGCUCUAGAGUACAAAGAUUCAGUAUUGGUGAUUGCAUGUGCAAUUUCUGAAUAGUUAAUUGACUACAUGUGCAUUUUCCUAAUUUUAAUUGGAUGUAGUUCAGACUUCAGAUUGACUAUGUUCGAUAGUCCAUAUGGUUACACCCUUUUCCUACUAAAUAAUGGUUACAUUUAAAUAUCAGCUACUAUUAACCUUCAUGGUGAGUUUUAAUUUGCCUAGAUAAAAAAUUCAGGUUUGAAAAUUUGUACUGGUCUUCUGCUUUGUUUGCAGCUUCCUCUGAUGGUAAAAGUGUCUGAAUACAAGGAAGAUGGUCUUCCCCUGUUGAUGUUAAAUUACCUGUCAAGCAUGCAUUGUCAAGGGAACUUCAGCUCUACUUUGACAAAAUCACAGUGCUUACCAUGAUGACUGAUUCUAUACUCUUCAAACAAGCUUUAGUUAGCUUGGCAACAGACUCUGGUCUCCAUCCCUUACUUCCUUAUUUCACAUACUUGAUUGCUGAUGAGGUGGCUUUGGAGGAUUUGCCUCAUUUUAUUACUUUGGUGAAGGUGAAUUUUUUUUUUCUCUUAUGUUUUUUAUCUCAUAUUCUUUUCACUUUGUUCUCAGGUCACACAAAAUUUGAAUAAUUUUUCUGUCCUGUUUGCUUUGAUGCGUGUUGCCCAAAGUCUUCUUCAAAAUCCACACAUACACAUAGAACCUUAUGUAAGUUAUUGUCAGCUUAUUAAAUUUGUAUUUAAUAAAGUGUCAGAAGAUUUUAUAUCUUAUUGUUGUAAUAUAUUCUGAUCUGUGGUUCAUAUGCCUUUCACUUACUGUCAAUGCUGUUUAACACUUCAGUUGGUUGAGAAGUUCCUAAACUGGUAUGCUACAGUUAAAGGGCAUGUUUUUCGAUCUAAUAUUUUUUCUCUCUUUUUUGUUGGCCAAUUGAUGCCAGCUAUUAUCACCUGCCUAGUUGCUAAAAGGUUGGGAAAUAGAUUUUCUGACAUCAUUGGGAGCUUAGAAACUUCACAGCAGGCCUGGUUGCUUCAACAUGCAAAAGGCAAGGAUUUUGGUCCUUUUUUGUUGAAUAUGCAGAAAAAUCAAGGAUAGAAACAUUCAUUCAUAAUUGAAAAUUUUCCAAUGAAAAUGAAUAAAUGGUAAUUAGAGGUAAGAUUCUCAAACCAUGGCAUUGAUGUGAAAUAAUUCAGUAUGCAGUUAUAAGAUAAAGGUUGAAUUUCUGGCAUUAUAUAAUUCGGAGUUCAAUUUUGCAGAAGCUUUCUGUGAGCUUUUCCCUUUAGCUUAGCCACAUUUGAUUUGGGCUUGGAAUGGACUGUUCUAACCCGGAACUGAAUUGGCCUUGAACUGGUCCAGUCCAGUUUCAAGUCAAAACAAGGUUUUUUUCCUCUUAAAAAAAUUAAAAAAAAAAUGAAAAGAAAAAAUCCAACCAUUAAGUUUGAUAAAAACCGGACUGAAUCGAGAAUUAGUUCGGAUCUGCGGAUUGAACAGGCAGCCAGGCCUAUUUUUCCCAUGUGUGCUGCAGUAAUUACUGUGUUCUGCACCAGUAUGCAUACAACACAAGAGAUAUACUUGCUUGUAUAGGCAUUAUAAAUUAUAUGGUAAAUUACUUUUUCAUCCUUGUAUUUUGUCAUAAUUAACAUUUGGAUCCCUAUAUUUUGAAAAGUACAUGAAAAUGUUCAUAAAUUUGGUUUUGUCAUACACUUUUAUAUCUUCAUCCAUUUUUGUCAAUGUAGUCGUUAGUCAUGGACUCAAAGGUGAUCAAUGAGGAGCUAGGUGUUAAUAAUAAUAAAAACUCAUGGAUGAAAGUGUUCAUAAUGGUAAAACUCAAGAUGAAAUAAUAAUUUAUUCUGAGUGGUAUUAAGGUAUGUUCACUAUUUAUUAAUGGUAAAAGUUAAGAGAAAUGAAUGGAGAAUGAAAGUGCAUGAUAGAAUCAAAAUAUAGGGAUGUUUUCAUCUACUUUUCGAAAUAUAGGGACUCAAAUAUUAAUUACGGCAUAAUAUAGGGAUGAAGAAGUAAUUUACUCUAAAUUAUAAUAAAUAUGAUGAUGUUAACUAGUGUGUCUUUAUCUUAGAUCCAGUCAUGGUCUGAUUCGGAUUAGGAAUUGGACCGGUCCAACUGGAAUCAAAAUUGGAGCGAAAUCAGUCAAAAUUGGAUUGACGAAAACCAGUCUUAAACUGGAUCAGAACAGAUUGUUCAUCUUUUUUUUUUUUUCAUUUUUAAAAAAUAAAAAGUUUUGAAGACAAAUUUCAAGUGUUGGAUUUGAUCAAAAUCGGAAUCGAAUUGGAAUUGAAUUGAAACAGAACCGGAAUCGAGGGGGACCUUGCUGUCUGGAACCGGCCUGGUUAUAGAUUAUGUCACAUCUGAUUCUAUUAUGUUUGAGAAUUUGAAAUACCAAGUCUCUUUACUCUGCCUUUUUUAUCCACCAAUACUGUAUGUAGUAUUUACCAGUUGUUAUGUUGCAGAAUUGGGCAUGUUUACCACAAUCUCCAGCCACGUGUCACAAGUACUCUACUCCAUGCAUUCUUGGACCCAACAAAAUCAUUGCCUCAACACUAUGGUGCAGUACAAGGAUUAGCAGCUUUAGGACCCAAUGUGGUUUGUCUUCUUAUACUGCCAAAUCUAGAGCCAUAUUUACUGCUUCUUGAACCAGAAAUGCUUCUUGAGAAGCAAAAGAAUGAGAUAAAGAGGCAUGAAGCUUGGUGCAUUUAUGGGGCCUUGAUGCGUGCAGCUGGUAUAUGCUUGUAUGAUCAGCUCAAAAAGUUACCUGGUAUGCUAAUGCCACCAACAUGAGCUGUCUGGAAGAGCAAUGGAAGAGUUAUGACUAAAAUGCCAAAUAAACGAAAAGCUAGCACAGACAACUUGAUGCAACAACCACCACUCAAGAAACUAGCGACAGAUGGUGCGAUGGGUGUAAUGCCAAUGAACUCCAUGCAAGUUGACAUGCAAGGGGCAACAGGUGGAUAUCCCAAGGCUGUUGGGGCUUCUAGCAUGAGCAUACCAUUAAUAUCUCGGCAGUUGCCUAAUGAAAACAUGCCAGGAAGGGAUGGUGGUCAGGUUUUAAAAGCAUCAACUGUGCUUGCACAGGCUUGGAAGGAGGACAUAGAUGCAGGACGUUUGCUGGCUUCUCUAUACGAACUUUUUGGUGAAAGUAUGUUUGCCUUCAUUCCGAAACCAGAGUUGUCUUUUUUCUUGUAAAUUUAACUGGAGAUAUCAGCAAUUGUCCUCAGGAAAUUAUCUGUUACAUUCCUCGUUCUUUUCCUUCCAGGAUAGUUUUUGUAUUUCCGAAGAAAGUUGUACGGAAUUCUUUUUGUAGAUAACUAAUCAAACAUACCAAAUUGUGGCGUUCAGCUUGUGCUCCUUCCAUGUUAAUCCUUAUUUUAC
rnacentral:misc_RNA from 1 species